UACAAAAGGAAUUUGGAGAAUAGUUUAUUGCUCUGCCCUCCAGCUCUUCAAUCAGAGAGGAGAGACAACAGGGUGCUGAGAAGGUGUGGAUUAUCCAAUCUGUAUCCUCUUUGGUUUGGCAGUCAUAACAGACUUCUUUCAUCAAAAUAAAUAAAUGCCCCAAAUCUCCCAGAUAUUUACAGGAUAAACAGUGACCAGAAAGAGAGAGUUCUUGGGUUCCUUCUGCCAUAUUCAUGACGCUCAUGAAAAAUAGCUGAGGAGAUGCAACUUCCAAGCAUUCCUGCCACAUGAAAAAGUUUAAGAAGCUGUUUCCCACUGAUGAAUUUGGAGUCAGGACUCAGACCAACCAAUUCAUUUUCUGGACUUCAUCAUCAUGCUCUCACAUGGCUAUCUCCUUGCCUC
rnacentral:lncRNA from 1 species